GAAUGAAGGAAAGCAUGGUAAUGUGCACUAAAAUUGAUUUGGGUCUCUAGGCCUGUCCUCACUGAUGCCUUUCAGUUUUGAUUUGGGGGCAUGAUUCCGUAGCAAAAUG